AGUCGAUUCAAUUAAAAAAAAAAUCCCCUCAAAACUCGAGUUUUUCAAAGGGGAUUUCUCCAUCUUUCCUGGCAGUAUCGAGCAUAGGCAAAUUAACUUCUUAUAACCAACUUUAUCUCAAUAGUUUCAAAGGGGAUUUCAACUUCUUCAUUGAAAUGAUAAGUUAAUCUUUUGAUGCUCGAUUUCGUUUUUCAAUUUUUCUCCAUAUUCUAUCAUUUGUCGAUUUCUAGCUCGUCUCUCAAAUUUUCAAUGUAUCACGAGGGAUUUGAUCAAAGCUUCCACCUUCACCUUGGAAAUUUGUACCGUCUCUACUGUAAUUAGUAAGCAAUAUCAUUUCCUUCUUCGGCUAAUGGUGGUUUGAUGCUUUCAAUAAUGUAUUGAGCUGUGUCAUCUGAUAAGCUAUCUUCAAGUUUCUCCGAAUUCCAUUCCCUAUUUGUGACAUAUGUUGUGACUUCUGCUUCAUCAUCUAUCAACGCUUCAGGAACAAUGAAAUAAAAGGCACCAAGCCAUGUCCAGUUCUCAAACCAAAAGCUGGAGUCUUCAUGUUUAGGCUUCCAUAAAAUCAGAUGCUCCGCCAUUUUCCGAAUUUGAAUCAUUUUGUUCCAUACAUUAGAGUUAUUUAUUCCUUAUGCUAAAACUGGAUGUAACUUUUUGCAAUAUUUGUUCCACAUGAAUAAACUACAUAGGCUUGUAGAGGUUCUGAAAUUUCACCCUAAAUUAGCAAAUAAAGCAUUUGAAGUAUCCUUUAACGACCUGAAACCUAACCUUCCUUCUUCUGGAAUGCACAAUAUAUCACAAGACACCUAGUGUUUGUUCUUUGUUCCUAGUGUAUUAUUCCAGAAAAAUUGAGCAAAA